GGGUUAUAUGUGGGUGCAUAGGGGUUAUUCACUAGUUUCUGAUAUGUGACGUUUGCCUGUGCACAUCCAUUCUCUAUUGGAUUCAUCAGGAAGGGACAUUCCUCAAGGAUAUGGUCGGGUGUGCACUACAUGCAUUGCACAUGGGUGUAGAAACUUGAUUCACACUGAUGGGUCUCUGUAGCUCUAAGGCCUCUAACCUACGUGCUA
rnacentral:lncRNA from 1 species